rnacentral:rRNA from 1 species
CCUACGGGAGGCAGCAGUGGGGAAUCUUGCACAAUGGAGGAAACUCUGAUGCAGCGAUGCCGCGUGAGUGAAGAAGGCCUUUGGGUUGUAAAGCUCUUUUGUAGGGGAAGAUAAUGACUGUACCCUAAGAAUAAGGUCCGGCUAACUUCGUGCCAGCAGCCGCGGUAAUACGAAGGGACCUAGCGUAGUUCGGAAUUACUGGGCGUAAAGCGCGCGUAGGCCGUUGAGUUAGUUAAUUGUGAAAUCCCAAAGCUUAACUUUGGAACUGCAAUUAAAACUGCUCGACUAGAGUUUGAUAGAGGAAAGCGGAAUACAUAGUGUAGAGGUGAAAUUCGUAGAUAUUAUGUAGAACACCAGUUGCGAAGGCGGCUUUCUGGAUCAACACUGACGCUGAGGCGCGAAAGUAUGGGUAGCAAAGAGGAUUAGAUACCCUCGUAGUCCAUACCAUAAACGAUGAUUGCUAGAUGUUGGAAAUUUAUUUUACAGUAUCGCAGCUAACGCAUUAAGCAAUCCGCCUGGGGAGUACGACCGCAAGGUUAAAACUCAAAGGAAUUGACGG